AAUAUUGUACAAUGGGCGAAAGCCUGAUCCAGCCACGCCGCGUGUGUGAAGAAGGNCUNNGGAUUNUNAAGCACUUUCAGUUGNNNNNAAGGGCAGUAAGUUAAUACCUUGCUGGUUUUACGUUUCCGACACAUUAAGCACCGGCUAACUUCGAGCCAGCAGCCGCGGUAAUACGAAGGGUGCAAGCGUUAAUCGGAAUUACUGGGCGUAAAGCGCGCGUAGGUGGUUUGUUAAGUUGGAUGUGAAAGCCCCGGGCUCAACCUGGGAACUGCUUUCAAAACUGGCAAGCUAGAGUAUGGCAGAGGGGGGUGGAAUUUCCUGUGUAGCGGUGAAAUGCGUAGAUAUAGGAAGGAACACCAGUGGCGAAGGCGACCACCUGGGCUAAUACUGACGCUCAGACACGAAAGCGUGGGGAGCAAAC
rnacentral:rRNA from 1 species